GAUGAACGCUGGCGGCGUGCUUAACACAUGCAAGUCGAACGGAAAGGCCCAAGCUUGCUUGGGUACUCGAGUGGCGAACGGGUGAGUAACACGUGGGUGAUCUGCCCUGCACUUCGGGAUAAGCCUGGGAAACUGGGUCUAAUACCGGAUAGGACGAUGGUUUGGAUGCCAUUGUGGAAAGUUUUUUCGGUGUGGGAUGAGCUCGCGGCCUAUCAGCUCGUUGGUGGGGUAAUGGCCUACCAAGGCGUCGACGGGUAGCCGGCCCGAGAGGGUGUACGGCCACAUUGGAACUGAGAUGCGGGCCAGACUCCUACGGGAGGCAGCAGUGGCGAAUAUUGCACAAUGGGCGCAAGCCUGAGGCAGCGACGCCGCGUGGGGGAUGACGGCCGUCGGGUUGUAAACUCCUUUCUCUAGGGACGAAGCGUUUUUGUGACGGUACCUGGAGAAGAAGCACCGGCUAACUACGUG
rnacentral:rRNA from 1 species